GACAGAACCUGUGGCGGACCCCGUGGAGCUACGGAGAAACAUGAGGAAGCUGAGAAGCAGACUCCUUGACAUGGCAACAGUAGAAAUGAGGAGAUGCCAAAGAGACAGAAUCUGGUAACUCUUGAAGAGCCAGCCUGCCUGAGCUGAGGACACUACAGGAGCCAAAUUAGAGAAGGGGCUUGCAGUCCUGCCAUAUUGCAUAUUCAUGGCUUUCUUGUCCCCUCACCCCCAGUAUAAUCCUUUUUGCCAGGUUAACAACUCACUAAUUUCAAAGCAAUUCAUUUGCCAACUCAAAAAAAAAAAAAAAAAAAACCACAGAUACAACUUUAAAUGCUUUUGGAUUUUAAUCCUCUGGAGUAUUUAUAUGUUUUCUUGUCUCAUCCCUUCAAAACUAAUCUCAGAGUUUUGAGAAUCUGGGAACUUGGGCAAAGGAGAAAACAAGCACGCAGACCAAGGAAUCUGAAAUCGC
rnacentral:lncRNA from 1 species